CACGUGUGAAAAGAGGAGGAAGACAGUAGGCAGUCCGAGAAAUGGCGACUCCAUGAUCUGUCGCUUCAGGGGGGUAAUGAAGUGGACCUUCGUGAUAUUAUACCCCAUGUAUUCGCAUGAUUGUGCUUUAUAGGACGAAAAAGGAUACUAUCUUUAAAUUACCACCAUACACAUGAAAAAUGGCGGCAAAUAUGUACAGAGUUGGAGAUUAUGUAUAUUUUGAAACAUCGUCCACAUCCCCGUUCCAAAUAAGACGAAUCGAGGAACUCAACAAGACUCCAAAUGGAAAUGUGGAAGCCAAAGUUAUGUGUUUUUAUCGAAGGAGGGAUAUAUCCAGUUCACUCAUCGUGUUGGCGGACAAGCAUCAAACUGAUGCCCUUGAUUCGAAAAAGGUGUACAACCAAGACAGAGAUGAAGUUGAUAUGGAUGUGGGAGAUGAAGAGGAGGAUGAGUCAUCGCCACCCCCACUACUACAACAGCAGUCACCACAGCCAAAUGAGGAACAGCAGCAGGACAAACAGUCAGAGAAACAGUCUGACAAACAGUCGGACAAAGAGUCUGACAAACAGCCCGAUAAAGAGUCUGACAAACAGCCCGAUAAAGAGUCUGACAAACAUCCCGAUAAACAGUCGGACAAACAGCCCGAUAAACAGACAGACAAACAGUCCGAAAAACAGCCUGACAAACAGUCCGAAAAACAGCCUGACAAACAGUCCGAAAAACAGCCUGACAAGGAGUCUGACAAACAGACAGAGAAACAGACAGGGUCAGAGCAGCAGCUAUCAACAUCUACAACAGAAACAUCAAUGGAGACAUCUUCUGAUAAGGCCGACAAUAAGUCUGAGAAUUCAGAAAAAUCGGAGAAGAAUGACAAAUCCCAGGUGACCGAGAAGCAGAGGCAUCAGCUGAAGCAUCGAGAAUUGUUCCUAUCGCGGCAGGUGGAGACUCUGCCAGCCACACACAUACGAGGGAAGUGUGUUGUGACACUACUCAAUGAGACAGAGUCCCUGCUUUCAUACUUGAAUAAAGAAGAUACCUUUUUCUACUCACUAGUCUAUGACCCACAGCAGAAAACCCUCUUAGCAGACAAGGGGGAAAUCCGAGUGGGCUCCAAGUUUCAGGCAGAAAUCACACCAUUAUUAAAAGAGGGUGAAAAAGAUGGUCGUGUCAUAGCUGAUCUUGAAGAUUUAAUAUGGCAGCCUGAUAAUGGAUUAGCAGAAAAAGAAGUAGAUCAGUUUAACAUUAUUUCCAGGUCAGUGGGUACAUUUGCAAGAGCUCUGGACUGCACAAGCACAGUUCGCCAACCUAGUCUACACAUGAGUGCAGCUGCUGCUUCCAGGGACAUUACACUCUUUCAUGCAAUGUGCACGUUACACAAACACAAUUACGACUUGGCAAAAGCAGUUGCCAGCCUUGUGCCAGAAGGAGGCCCAGUUCUAUGCCGCGAUGAGAUGGAAGAGUGGUCCGCAUCGGAGGCAAAUCUCUUCGAGGAGGCGUUAGACAAAUAUGGCAAAGACUUCAAUGAUAUUCGACAAGAUUUUCUACCCUGGAAGUCACUGAAAAGUAUUAUAGAGUACUAUUAUAUGUGGAAAACAACAGAUAGAUAUGUGCAACAGAAAAGAAUAAAAGCUGCUGAAGCCGAGAGUAAACUAAAGCAGGUUUACAUUCCCAACUACAAUAAACCCAACCCAGCAGCACUAUCCAACAAGAUGAAUGGCGCUGAUGGUCAAGUGUCCGGAAGAGCCUGCGAGAGCUGUUACACUGCCCACUCUAGCCAGUGGUAUUCGUGGGGCCCCUCCCACCUUCAGUGUCGCCUCUGUUCAUGCUGCUGGUCCUACUGGAAGAAGUAUGGUGGCCUAAAGAUGCCUACGCGGCUAGGUACUAACAACUAUGGAGAUAGUUUACCAACUGAUGGUGAGAGACCUGCACCCAAUCAAAGACAAGAGAGGGUUGCACAGAUGAAUGCCAUUCGAAGCCACCGAUGUACUAUUUCUGGUUGCGGCAAGGACUUCAAAUUGAAGGCACACUUGGCACGACACCUGGCAACAGCUCAUGGAUUGGCUAUCAGGUCAGGUAGCCCCCGACCUGUCAUGAAGACCCGAGCAGCUUUCUGUCUUGUCACCACACCGCUAACCAGAAUCUCUCGCCGACUCUGCAAGGAUAUCCUGCGCCCAAGACAUGCGGCCCGAUGUCCAUUCAUACCCAUAAACAUUGCUGCUAUCAAGCAAGAAUGUAAGUUGAAUGGGCUUGUCGCCAACUAUUCAGAUAAGAAUGAUUACAGUGACUAUGAUAGGUCUGAUGUAGAGAUGAUUGCUUCCAAACCUAUAUUUGAGAGAGCAAGCAACAACAUGUCCCCCAAUAAUGUUUCCCGUAACAAUGUGUCCCCUAACAACCUGUCAUCGGGCACUCCCAACAAUGUCCGCUUGAACCCAAUCAACGCUGUGCCAGCACACAACCGAUGAGGACGGAGCCCAUGAUUGCAUGGCUGGGAAUUCAAGAGGACAAUAUGGUUCAUCAUGACGACCACAUGUUCGAGAAACAAUUCUUUUUGACGGCAGCAGAUGACACACCAACAGACUGUUACAGAUUAAUGGUGAUUUGUUUGCUGUGAAGUUUGAGACAAAUCCUGUGUUGGCAGAUACACCUGCCUCCAUUAUGUGACUUAACAAGCUCCAGUAUGGUGGGCAGAGCCUGGCAAUUGUCAUCCGACUUUUGAAAACUUUUAGCGAACAAACUCAAGGACAUUUUGUGCCAUCUGGAACUAGGAACAUGCUCAUCGUCAGACGUGUUAAUCUUUCUCAUCACCAUUGUUUCCGAAGAUUAAAAAUGCAUAGUUCAACAUCAUUUCGUUUCAUCCAGAACAAUUGAUAAUUGUACAUGAAGAGUAGAAUUAGAUUUGUUACGAAAACACAAUUAUAGAUGAAUUUUGUAGUGUUUCGUCUACUCAUGUUCCUAGUUCUGCCAGGUGCCCUAGUGCAGAGACCGGAGCUUGUGAUGGUAAUCUAGCAAUACGUCACACGUCAACAUUUCAUACUUUUUUUUCGAGGACAUAAAAAUAAAUUGAAUUUACAUAUUAAAAUGAUAUUCAUUUGAAGAUGUAAUUGCAUAUUUGACAAUGUUUGAACCCACUGUUUGUAUAUCUUUGUAAACAACUGAAAGGUUUUGUUAAAGACUUUGUUAGUUUCAUAAAGGGUGUCUGGUAUUUCAAAAUAAUUGUUCUUUUACCAAUAACGUCAAGGUUUCCUCCAUUCCUCAACAUCAUAUCCCUCACAGUACUGUUCAGUUGCAUGGAGCAGUUGCAUGACAAUGAUAUCUGUACCUUUAUAACUUAUUCUGACGCUAACAGAUACCAAUGGUGUGGAAACCGUGCAGACCCUCUCUCUCGGGGCUUCUGGUACUAGGGCAUUGUGUGUUAUUUUCUUUGCUAACUUUGUAUUCUUGUCCUUCAGGGAAGGCUUGUUUUCCUAUCAGCUUCUAGCCUUAGUGUGUUAUCUAUUUAUACAAUGUAUUGAGUAUUAAUUCAAACUAUUUUUAAGUUUUUCUAAGACAGUGAGUUUGAAUUUCUUCAUAAAAUUCAGUUUUAUUCAACAUCUUGCCAGUACAACUGUACUUAUUUUGGGAAGAGUCCAGUAAUGAGUCAUCUGAAAUAAUCUAUUUUGCUCAAAUUGAGAAUUGUUACCAAUUCUGACUGAAAUAUAAAAAACAACUGGGCAGCAAGGUAUUUACUCUGUGAAUAACAUGGAAACAUGCAGCAUUCAAACCACCAAACUGCUGUCCAGUUUUCAGACAGAUGUAAGCUGCACAUAUACAAACUGCUGUCCAGUUUUCAGACCGAUGUAAGCUGCACGUAUACAAACUGCUGCAACUAAUACAGCCAGGCAAUCACAAAGAAAGCCUGCUCUCACAAAUACAGUCAAACGUUCCGGAUGAUCCAACAUGCCCUCAUUCACUUGCACACCAUCAUCUUACAGUAGAGGUGUAAACUCAUUUUGUUCUGAAAAUUCUUUCCAUGUGGGGAGAAAUGAAAGUUCUAGUACCUAAUGUCAACACGGACACUUGCAGUUUGUUAUAACAUUUGUUAACCAGAAAUAUUUGGUGAGGAGGAGCCAAAUAAAAUUAGCUUGGUCAACAUGAGAUGGCAUUUGGCGUUAUGGUGUACACAGAAAGUUUGUGAAAACUUGUUUAUCAUACUGUUUGUACAAGUUCUUGUAUUUCCCAAGCAUGAAAUAGGGCAAUACAUAAGUUCUUACAUGAGUUAAAAUCAGUUUUUACAUACAUGCAAGUGUAAAAUGUAAUGUAAUUCCAUCAUUUCUUGCCCUUUUGAGCUCUCUUUUGAAAAAGUCAUGAUCAUAGUCUUCAAAACCACAAUUUCUGAAUAAUGUCAACACUUUUCAGCUGUGACAUUACAACCUUACGCCACAAUAAGAUUUGAAUGAUGUCAGUGCCAUACGGAUGGUGGUGGUGUGUGUCUGUGAAGUGAUAUUUCCACUAGUGCACUUUCGAUUGUUCUAACCCUUUGGGUAAUACAAAUAUAUACAGCUGUAUCUUAUUUGAGAGUUUUUUGGUCUUCAGUCAAAUAUGUAACACUGUUGAUUUAUCAGCAAUAGUUGUAUAGCAGUUGCAUGUAUGGAUUUCCUCCUGAAGAAUGCUGUUGUGCCUUCCCCAACAGGUGGUAGACCGGGUAUAUUUCCAUAGGAUAAUUGAUUCGGAAACAUGGCAGUUUUUGAUAUUUUCAUUUCAUUUUGGAGUCAUGACUACCUUUUGUUGUUUCCUGCAAAAUGUGGCCAAUAGUUUUGACGUUUGGAAGGAACCCAUAUUCAGGAAAUAAAAUUCAAAGUUCAUGAUCUAAUUUCUUGAUUUGGACAACUAUUUUAUGAUGAGAUUUGCAAUAAAAGUUAAUGAGGAUGUUUGAGGUAGCUGAAUGGGUGAAGUGUUGGUUUGUGACAGUCUUGACUGGGUUUGAAUUCCUCAUUAACACAGUUUAUGAAUGCAAUUAAAGAGACCCAUCGUCUUGUCAAAUAGUUGAAUCAAAAUAUCCUAAAAUCUGAUACACAACAUUGCCUUGUUCAGAAGCUAUAAAAAGGCUCUUUACUUGUCAGUAUUUUGUGGUUGGAGUUCCGAUUAAUGUUUGGUUCAGAUAAUUAUAGUUUGUUGUCAAUCUGUAGUUAAAGAAAGCAAUAAUAUAGUCACGAGAAAAAGCUUGGAUUUUAUUAAUCAAAACCAAUAUGUUGGUACGAAUUAAGUUUCAUACUGACACAGGAAGCUGGCUGGGCAUUGUGGGUUGUGAAGAACAAAGUCGAACCACUAUCCAUUCACUGUAGAAUUUCAUUGUAGUCUAUCAUGUGUAGGGUAUGGAUUUUUGUGCUAUUCAAUAUUUAAGAAUUAUUUGUCCUGAAACCAUACUUUGACUAUUUUGCCAAUGUUUGUGUAUCUAGAUGUAGUAACAUAGCUUGAUGUUGAGUUCCUCCUUAAACAUUGUAUGUACCAAGUUGGACAUUUUUCUAUAACAUUUGUACAGGUUUUCUUAUCUUGGUCCUAGUAUCAUCACUCAUGUUGUCUUCCAUCAGUGAUAUUACGUAGUGUCAUCAUCAUCCUCAUCUAGUUAGAUCACUUGCAUGUGUGUAUAGACAACCGACAGCCAUGUAACAUAGCCUUGUAACACUUGUCAGCAAUAAAAUUCAACAAAAACAUCA